AAUUUGUGUUGCUACAAAUCAUUUAGAUCAAUUCAAAAUUAAAGAAGAUUUUUCCACAAACAUUUGAAUUCAUAUGUAAUAUUCCAUGUUACAUUUGAACGCUUAAGCACAUUUUGUGCACCUAAAAUGCUUAAUCAGAAUGUUAAAAAAUUAUAUGAAUAUUGGAUAUUCAAUAUCACAUUUUACAUACAAGAGGUACAGCCAAAAAGGUACAGCCAUUUGAUCUCAAAAAACUAGUCUCGUUUGUCUCUUUAGUCGUAAAAGACUGUGCUAGUGUGACCGUAGCCUUAGAUUUGAACUAAUCACAACAUGUGCUGUUUUGAUUUUCUUCUGUUUCUUACAAUUGAUUGUGACCACUAAUUUAUAUCAUCGAUACUAGAUGUCGCGGUGCACAUUUAAAUGAAUUAUUUCAAUUUCA